GGGGGGAGAAGCGGAAGGUUACCUGGGAAGCGCGCGCGGGAAAGUGAGUUGUAGCAGAAAUUGGAACGUUGACCCGGGCCAGCUGGAGCAGCAUGAAGUUUGUCACCUGUGAAAUAGCAUGGCACAACAAAGAACCUGUAUACAGCGUUGACUUUCAGCAUGGAGCGGACGGAAGGAUUGACCGCUUGGCCUCCGCAGGGGUAGACAGUGCAGUUCGGAUGUGGAAGGUGGACAAAGGCCCGGAUGGAAAAGCGGCAGUAGACAUUUUAUCCAAUCUGAUCCGUCAUACGAAGGCUGUGAAUGUUGUACGAUUCUCCCCAAGCGGCGAGAUUCUUGCAUCCGGAGGAGAUGAUGCACUAAUAUUGUUAUGGAAAUUGAAUGACAACAAAGACAUCAAAGAAUCCGAACAAAACCUUUUUGAAGAGGAUGCUCAGUUAAAUAAGGAGAAUUGGACAGUACUCAAAACAUUACGGGGGCACAUAGAGGAUGUGUAUGAUAUCUGCUGGACUCUCGAUGGAAAUCAUAUGGUAUCUGGAUCAGUUGAUAAUACUGCCAUCAUGUGGGACGUUAAUAAAGGGACAAAGUUGUCCAUCUUCAAUGAGCACAAGAGCUAUGUGCAAGGUGUCACUUGGGACCCUCUCGGACAAUACAUUGCCACACUGAGUUGUGAUCGGGUUAUGCGGGUGUACAGCACACAGACCAGGCGGGUGGCAUUUAAUGUCAGCAAGAUGUCAUCUGGUAAUGAAGGCGAGACCAAGAGUUAUCGAAUGUUUCACGAUGAUGGCAUGAAAUCGUUUUUCCGCCGACUCACCUUCACAGCAGAUGGCUCUUUGUUGCUCAUUCCAGCUGGUUGCGUUGAAGCUGGAGAGAAUGUUACGAACACAACGUAUGUAUUUUCCAGAAAAAAUCUGAAAAGGCCCAUAGCCCAUCUACCUUGUCCUGCUAAAGCCACACUGGCUGUUCGUUGCUGCCCGGUAUUUUUUGAGCUAAGGCAACCAAAGGUCGAAGGUGAGUCACAUAAGAUGAUGAAUGUUUUUAAGUUGCCCUAUCGGCUGGUGUUUGCUGUAGCUUCAGAAGACUCCAUACUGUUGUACGACACUCAACAGACAGUGCCCUUUGGUUAUAUCUCAAAUAUCCAUUAUCACACCCUAAGUGAUAUAACAUGGUCACGCGAUGGGUUGUUCCUCACUAUUUCAUCCACUGAUGGAUACUGCUCCUUUGUCACAUUUGAGAAAGAUGAAUUGGGUGUACCUUUGAAAGAAAAGCCAGUGCUGUCCAUCCAGACCCCUGGCAUCUCGGAGAAAAGACUGAAAAAGGGUCAGGCAAACCGAUUAUCUGCUGGCACCCCAAAACAGACCGAGAGCAGCACUCCUGCUCGGACUGUGGAUCAACAGGACCAUUCUACCCCUGCUCAGCCAAACACACUCAGUGCAGUGGCAGCCCCUACUAAAGAGGUGCCUGGUACUCCCGUCACGACUAAAGCCUCUCCAUCCUCGGCGGACAGUGCUGUACAGGGCAGCAAGGCUUCUCAUUCCCGGAGGAUCACCUUGAGUACGUUGGAGGCCUGGAGCAAACCCAGCAAAGCACCCGUGCCAAGGCGAAUCUCACUGAUGCCUCUGAACUCCAGUACUUCCAAGGUGACAUCAACACCCGUCAUAACCCAAGCAGAAAAAACAGCACACGAGGGAUCUUCUCCUUCCAAUGAUCUUCAGUGCAAGUCACCAGAUGCUAAACGUUCGAGGAUUGAUGAUCAGCAGAGUGUCAGUCCCACAGAUAAUCUGGAAACAAAUGAUGAUUGCAGGAGGGACAAAUGAACAUUGCUCAGAACUUUUUUAAAACAUGUACUUUGUGUAAAAUUCUGCAGUGUGGUCAGUUUUGCUGCAAUGUGUAGAUGUAUAUGUGAGCUGGAAGUUGCAGUGUAAAGCAUCUCUUAAUUUUGUUCUUUUUGUUACCAGUUUUUAAUAUUACAUCCUUUCAUCCUCUUGGUAUUGGUGACAUUAGGCUGUUUCUAAAUGUGAAUAGUCCUGUUUUAGUUAAUCAUUGUACAAAGUAUCAAUUAUAAAAUUAAAAGCAUUUUCUGUUUUGUGUUGGUAGAAAUGUGCACUUGAUAGUCCACUUCCUAAAUGAUUCAACUUGAUGGAGCACAUCUAUUGCAGCUCAAAGAUCUUUCAUGCUGCAUGUGUACUUGAAGUGCAGUGACUUAAGAAAGUCUACAACCACUUUGUGCACAGCAAUUAGAAUGAUUAAUAACCUGCCUAAUAAUGUAAGUUAAUGAGUGAAUUCAAGCCACACACUCAUUAGAAUUGUUUGACAUUGCCGUGCAUUUCCUGAGUGUAGAUUUAUAUCUGUCAGGUCUCAUGCACCGAGAGAAUGGGGAUGGUGUAAGGCUGGCAGUCAGCAACUUUGUUGUCAUUUUACACUGACCCACUUGUUCUCGGCUCCUUUCAGAGCUGCCGUGUAAGUGGAGGAGUGGAUUGCUUCACUUGUCCCCAGUGAGUUGGGAGAAAAGAACAUUAAAAUGGAAGUUUAAAUGGCUGUAAUGGUGUUUGAGGAAUACAGUAAUACCUUGUAAACACAGCCAGACUCCACCAUGAUGACCUAGAAGUGCCAAAUUGUUGAUUCAUCUCAGUUUCCUCCUAAACUCUCCACAGAUCAGUCCCAUUCCUUCCAUGCGAGAUCAAUAACUGACAGGUUUGGAUGUGGCAUACGUUAUGGCCCUUUGUAGUACAUCACCUCCAGUGCAGGUACUGUCCCCAUGACACUGUUCCAGUGUUUUAACACUGGGUCUUACUAAUAAUGGGAAAUUCCAUCAUGCUUUUGACCUGUACCAAUGCUUAGGCACGUGUUGGGGAGUGAGGACAUGAGUUACUUUCACCCAGAAUUUCUAUCCUGAUGUGAACUUAUAGCUGUAUUUAUAUGGCUGUUCCAGUUUAUGGUCAAUAGUAUAAAAUGGGCUAUUUAAUUAAUUGGGUUAUAACAUCGCUGCUUAUUGAAAGAGCUAUCUGAUGUAGGGUUAAAUUUAACUUGGAACUUACCAUACACUAUAAACGAUGAUCACAUUGAUUUGCUGGGGGACGUUUGCUACUCUUCGACUUUUUCUGAACAGCAAUAUCUCACCACAUCAAGAAGAUGUAACACUCCUUAUUCAUUGCACUAUGAUUGCUUAUAGGGAGAUAGCAACAACCGUGCAAGACCAUGGACCCUUGAAUUGAAGCAACCUGCAUUUAAAAAAAAUGAGAGAAAUUGGAACUUUGUUUCAAAGAGGCCAGAUACAGGCAUCAGCUACUGAACCUGAGAAAGUUGUGAACAACACAGCAGCUCCUCACACGACCACAUGUUGCUGGGGAAAUUUGGCAUGACGGUGAAUACCCUUGCCGACUUUCAUAGGUGCGGUAUCAAGAGUAUUGUCUGGAUGUACCACUACCUGGUAUGGCAACUGUACCGUUCAAGAUCGGAGACAGUUACAGAGAGUGAUGAACUUGGCCUGGACAAUCACAAAGGCCAACCUCCCAUCAAUAGAAUCCAUCUACCAGGCUCACAGUUAAGGAAAGGCUGCCAGCAUUCUUAAAGAUCCGUCCCACCCUGGCAAUGUUUUUCGACAACCUCUACCAUCGGGGAGAAGGUACAGAAUCCUGAACACGUGUACCAGCCAGUUUCGAAACAGUUUCUACCUUACUGUUGUUAGACUACUGAAUGGACUCACAAACUCUUAACAAUCGCCUGUACCUGUGUUUUUGUUUUAGCUGCUGUUUACCUAUUAUUUACUAUCUAUUUUACUUAACUCUGUGGUCUACCUGUAUUGCUC